rnacentral:rRNA from 1 species
GACGAACGCUGGCGGCGUGCUUAACACAUGCAAGUCGAACGGCAAGGCACUGCUUUUGUGGGGUGCCCGAGUGGCGAACGGGGGAGUAACACGAGAGUAACCUGACCUUGACUUUGGGGUAACUUCAGGAAACUGGGGCUAAUACAGGAUAGGAGCUCCUGCUGCAUGGUGGGGGUUGGAAAGUUUCGGCGGGUGUGGAUGGACUCGCGGCUUAUGGGCUUGUUGGUGGGGUAGUGGCUUACCAAGGCUGUGACGGGUAGCCGGCCUGAGAGGGUGACCGGCCACCUUGGUCCUGAGGUACGGCCCAGUGGGCUAUGUUGGGCAGUGGUGGGAAGCCUUGCCCAGUGGUCCGACGCGUGUUGCGGCGACGCCGCGUUUGUGAUGCCGGCUUGCGGGUUGUAAACCGCUUUCGCCUGUUACCACGCGUGACUGACGGUACUGGGUAAAUAAGCACCGGCUAACUUCGUG